UGAGCUUACGCAGGGGUGAGGGC
rnacentral:piRNA from 1 species